AACGAACGCUGGCGGCAUGCCUAACACAUGCAAGUCGAACGAGACCUUCGGGUCUAGUGGCGCAUGGGUGCGUAACGCGUGGGAACGUGCCCUUAGGUUCGGAAUAACUCCCCGAAAGGGGUGCUAAUACCGGAUAAUGUCUGCGGACAAAAGAUUUAUCGCCUUUGGAUGGGCCCGCGUUGGAUUAGCUAGUUGGUAGGGUAAAAGCCUACCAAGGAGACGAUCCAUAGCUGGUCUGAGAGGAUGAUCAGCCACACUGGGACUGAGACACGGCCCAGACUCCUACGGGAGGCAGCAGUGGGGAAUAUUGGACAAUGGGCGAAAGCCUGAUCCAGCAAUGCCGCGUGAGUGAUGAAGGCCUUAGGGUUGUAAAGCUCUUUUACCCGGGAUGAUAAUGACAGUACCGGGAGAAUAAGCUCCGGCUAACUCCGUG
rnacentral:rRNA from 1 species